rnacentral:rRNA from 2 species
AGCGGAGGAAAAGAAACUAACAAGGAUUCCCCUAGUAACGGCGAGUGAAGCGGGAAGAGCUCAAAUUUGAAAUCUAGUAGCCUUCGGCUGCUCGAGUUGUAAUCUAGAGAAGUGUUUUCCGUGCCGGCCCAUGUACAAGUCCCUUGGAACAGGGCGUCAUAGAGGGUGAGAAUCCCGUCCUUGACAUGGACCCCCGGUGCUCUGUGAUACACUUUCAACGAGUCGAGUUGUUUGGGAAUGCAGCUCAAAAUGGGUGGUGAAUUCCAUCUAAAGCUAAAUAUUGGCGAGAGACCGAUAGCGAACAAGUACCGUGAGGGAAAGAUGAAAAGCACUUUGGAAAGAGAGUUAAACAGUACGUGAAAUUGUUGAAAGGGAAACGAUUGAAGUCAGUCAUGCUCUUUGGUAUUUAUAUCAUUGAGUGGGGUCAACAUCAGUUUUGAGCGAUGGAUAAAGGCACUAGGAAGGUAGCACUCUCGGGUGAACUUAUAGCCUAGCGUCAUAUACAUUGUUUGGGACUGAGGAACGCAGCAUGCCUUUAUGGCCGGGAUUCGUCCACGUACAUGCUUAGGAUGUUGACAUAAUGGCUUUAAACGACCCGUCUU